ACGGGAGGCAGCAGUGGGGAAUAUUGCACAAUGGGGGAAACCCUGAUGCAGCAACGCCGCGUGAGUGAAGAAGUAUUUCGGUAUGUAAAGCUCUAUCAGCAGGGAAGAUAAUGACGGUACCUGACUAAGAAGCUCCGGCUAAAUACGUGCCAGCAGCCGCGGUAAUACGUAUGGAGCAAGCGUUAUCCGGAUUUACUGGGUGUAAAGGGUGCGUAGGUGGCAGGGCAAGUCAGAUGUGAAAGACCGGGGCUCAACUCCGGGGCUGCAUUUGAAACUGUCUUGCUGGAGUGCAGGAGGGGCAAGCGGAAUUCCUAGUGUAGCGGUGAAAUGCGUAGAUAUUAGGAGGAACACCGGUGGCGAAGGCGGCUUGCUGGACUGAUACUGACACUGAGGCACGAAAGCGUGGGGAGCAAACAGGAUUAGAUACCCUGGUA
rnacentral:rRNA from 1 species